rnacentral:rRNA from 1 species
GACAAACGCUGGCGGCGUGCCUAAUACAUGCAAGUAGAACGCUGAAGGAGGAGCUUACUUCUCUGGAUGAGUUGCGAACGGGUGAGUAACGCGUAGGUAACCUGCCUGGUAGCGGGGGAUAACUAUUGGAAACGAUAGCUAAUACCGCAUAAGAGUAGAUGUUGCAUGACAUUUACUUAAAAGGUGCAAUUGCACCACUACCAGAUGGACCUGCGUUGUAUUAGCUAGUUGGUGGGGUAACGGCUUACCAAGGCGACGAUACAUAGCCGACCUGAGAGGGUGAUCGGCCACACUGGGACUGAGACACGGCCCAGACUUCUACGGGAGGCAGCAGUAGGGAAUCUUCGGCAAUGGACGGAAGUCUGACCGAGCAACGCCGCGUGAGUGAAGAAGGUUUUCGGAUCGUAAAGCUCUGUUGUAAGAGAAGAACGAGUGUGAGAGUGGAAAGUUCACACUGUGACGGUAUCUUACCAGAAAGGGACGGCUAACUACGUGCCAGCAGCAGCCGCAG